AUGUUUCUUCACUGAGAGGAGUAGCGGCAGCCGGCACUGACCGGAGAAAUGAUGGCACAGAGCCAGAAGAGAUAAGACGAAGCAGCAGAGGCAUUACAGCCAAGCAG